rnacentral:lncRNA from 1 species
GCUUGGUUCAUUGUGCCAAUAAUAUACGGACAUUUGUGGUACUUGCAAUUUAGAAGUCCAUUGAAGAUCUCUCCUAGGGAGCUAACAUGAUGCAAGUUGUCCAAAAUAAUUACAAGAGGCAUAUCUACAGCAUUAUUUUCACUAUUACAUUGGUCUGCUAGGUUGGACAGGUAUUGGCGAAGUUCCUUACUGGACUUAUGGUCCACGUUGAAGGUUGCAAUAAUUCCGUCAGCCAGCUCCCUGCCC